rnacentral:tRNA from 1 species
CAAGCAUUACCUGCAGUUGGGGAUUUCAUUUACAUUGAAUUUUUUGCCGUGCAAGUCGGCGUUGUUUGA